CAGUUUUACUUCAAAAAUAGUUAAGCUUUAGUUUUAACUAACCUGGCACAUGUGGUUCUCGCAGUCGUCGAUGUUGAUGGUACAGUUCUCGCCCUUAAAACCAGUAAUCACCCAUGAAUCCGGCGGGACAUUUGCAUCGGUAACCGGCGAUACCGUCGACGCAAGUGGCGUUGUUUUCGCACUUGUUGUUGAUGCAGUCGUCGAUGUUGUGUUCGCAUCGCAUUCCGGUAAACCCUGGGAGGCAUUGACAGCUAGAAAGAAACAAAAACAACUAUAAUCUAAGUUUUAUUAAAUAAGCUAAAUUAUCAAAUCAAUCAGAAAAAGUUUUGGAUAGAAAUCUAUGUUAAAUUACACUUUUUGUACUUUUCUUUAUAAAAGUUCUGUCUUGGAGCUACUACUGGGUUUCUUAGAUCCAGCUUAUACACUGUUUUCUGAUCUGCCUGCACGCUUUGGCUAAUAAAAAUAAUAUCUACA